GACGAACGCUGGCGGCGUGCUUAACACAUGCAAGUCGAACGGUGAACGAGGGAGCUUGCUCCCUCCGGAUCAGUGGCGAACGGGUGAGUAACACGUGAGCAAUCUGCCCCGAACUCUGGGAUAAGCGUUGGAAACGACGUCUAAUACCGGAUACGACUCGGGAGGGCAUCCUCUCCGCGUGGAAAGAACUUCGGUUCGGGAUGAGCUCGCGGCCUAUCAGCUUGUUGGUGAGGUAACGGCUCACCAAGGCGACGACGGGUAGCCGGCCUGAGAGGGUGACCGGCCACACUGGGACUGAGAAACGGCCCAGACUCCUACGGGAGGCAGCAGUGGGGAAUAUUGCACAAUGGGCGCAAGCCUGAUGCAGCAACGCCGCGUGAGGGACGACGGCCUUCGGGUUGUAAACCUCUUUUAGCAGGGAAGAAGCGAAAGUGACGGUACCUGCAGAAAAAGCACCGGCUAACUACGUG
rnacentral:rRNA from 1 species